AAAUUGAAGAGUUUGAUCAUGGCUCAGAUUGAACGCUGGCGGCAGGCCUAACACAUGCAAGUCGAACGGUAACAGGAAUCAGCUUGCUGAUUCGCUGACGAGUGGCGGACGGGUGAGUAAUGUCUGGGAAACUGCCUGAUGGAGGGGGAUAACUACUGGAAACGGUAGCUAAUACCGCAUAACGUCGCAAGACCAAAGAGGGGGAGCUUCGGGCCUCUUGCCAUCGGAUG
rnacentral:rRNA from 1 species